rnacentral:rRNA from 1 species
AUUGAACGCUGGCGGCAGGCUUAACACAUGCAAGUCGAGCGGGGAAGGGUAGCUUGCUACCUAACCUAGCGGCGGACGGGUGAGUAAUGCUUAGGAAUCUGCCAUUUAGUGGGGGACAACAUUCCGAAAGGAAUGCUAAUACCGCAUACGUCCUACGGGAGAAAGCAGGGGAUCUUCGGACCUUGCGCUAAAUGAUGAGCCUAAGUCGGAUUAGCUAGUUGGUGGGGUAAAGGCCUACCAAGGCGACGAUCUGUAGCGGGUCUGAGAGGAUGAUCCGCCACACUGGGACUGAGACACGGCCCAGACUCCUACGGGAGGCAGCAGUGGGGAAUAUUGGACAAUGGGCGGAAGCCUGAUCCAGCCAUGCCGCGUGUGUGAAGAAGGCCUUAUGGUUGUAAAGCACUUUAAGCGAGGAGGAGGCUACCUAGAUUAAUACUCUAGGAUGGUGGACGUUACUCGCAGAAUAAGCACCGGCUAACUCUGUGCCAGCCGCCGCGGUAAAAC